AGAAAAGUCAAGAUCAUGUGUGUAGAACCUUCUACUGUAUUAUAACUGAAUCAGUAGUGCUUUUGUUUGGCUAGUUACAUCAGUCAAGACAUAACAAACUUCAGAGUUUCCCAGAUAUGACAUCCAGUUUCAAUAGUGAGAAGGAAAAAGUCACAGUUUUAAUAACAAGAAAGAGAAUGAGCUGAUCCAUUGGAUCUUUCAGAAAAAAAAAAAAGAGCUGAUCCAUUGGAUCUUUUAGGAAAAAAGAA